rnacentral:rRNA from 1 species
UCUUGAAAUUUAAAGUAUUUGGCGGUACUUUAAUCCAGUUAGAGGAACCUGUUGUAUAAAUGAUAUUCCACGAAGAAUCUUACUUUAGUUUAAAUAGUUUGUAUACCGCCAUUAUUAGAUGAUCUUAUAAAAGAAGACUCGAGGAAAGAAUUCUUAGUACAUUAGGUCAAGGUGCAGCUUAUACUGAAGAAAUUAAUGGGUUACAUUUAAAUAGUUAAAACGAAUAAAUAAUUGAAAUUUAAAUUGAAGGCGGAUUUAAUUGUAAUUUUAUUUUAAUAAGAUAAAAUGAUAACGGCACUAAAGUAUGUACAUACG